rnacentral:rRNA from 2 species
ACGGGGCGCAGCAGGCGCGAAACCUUUGCAAUGUGCGAAAGCACGACAAGGUUAAUCCGAGUGUCUUCCGCUAAGGGAGUCUUUUGUCAGUUCUAGAAUCACUGAUGAAUAAGGGGUGGGCAAGUUCUGGUGUCAGCCGCCGCGGUAAAACCAGCACCUCGAGUGGUCAGGAGGUUUAUUGGGCCUAAAGCAUCCGUAGCCGGUUGCAUAAGUUUUCGGUUAAAUCUAUGCGCUCAACGUAUAGGCCGCCGAAAAUACUGUGCAGCUAGGGAGUGGGAGAGGUACACGGUACUCAAUAGGAAGGGGUAAAAUCCUUUGAUCUAUUGAUGACCACCUGUGGCGAAGGCGGUGUACCAGAACACGUUCGACGGUGAGGGAUGAAAGCUGGGGGAGCAAACCGGAUUAGAUACCCGGGUAGUCCCAGCUGUAAACUAUGCAAACUCAGUGAUGCAUUGGCUUGUGGCCAAUGCAGUGCUGCAGGGAAGCCGUUAAGUUUGCCGCCUGGGAAGUACGUACGCAAGUAUGAAACUUAAAGGAAUUGGCGGGGGAGCAC